GACGAACGCUGGCGGCGUGCUUAACACAUGCAAGUCGAGCGGUAAGGCCCUUUCGGGGGUACACGAGCGGCGAACGGGUGAGUAACACGUGGGUGACCUGCCCUCAGCUCUGGGAUAAGCCUGGGAAACCGGGUCUAAUACUGGAUAUGACUCCAUGACGCAUGUUGUGGGGUGGAAAGCCUUGUGCGGCUGAGGAUGGGCCCGCGGCCUAUCAGCUUGUUGGUGGGGUGAUGGCCUACCAAGGCGACGACGGGUAGCCGGCCUGAGAGGCGACCGGGCCACACUGGGACUGAGACACGGCCCAGACUCCUACGGGAGGCAGCAGUGGGGAAUCUUGCGCAAUGGGCGAAAGCCUGACGCAGCGACGCCGCGUGA
rnacentral:rRNA from 1 species